CUUCUCUUCAGUGUCUGAUCAGCAGGCAGCGUGCUGUCAUUGUAAGAUCUGACAAACUUGAAGUCACUGGUGCGUGAGCCGGUUGUCAGGUAUGCAUCAUAGUUAUAAGAACUACGGAGAGUUCCAGCUCCAUCCACCUCUGCAUAGUUGGGAGGGAAAUAAGCGCUGGGAAUGGCGACUGCUCCAUCAAACAACAUUCUAGGUUUUCUACUGCGGCAGAACCUCACGGCCAGGAUGAGAAUAAUGAAAGUCAGGAAAAAGGUGGAGAUAGAGACCAGUGCGAUGAUCAAAUAGGAAGUUAGUUUGGAACUAUCCUCAUAAGCCAUGUCUUUCAGUUCUGGAAUUUCAGCCAAGUUAUCUGAUAUGAGCAAAUAUACAUCACAGGUUGUAGAGAGAGAGGGCUGUCCGUUAUCUUUCACUGAUAUAACAAGGUUCUGCUUCAUACUGUCAGAUUCAGAAAUGUCCCGCUGGGCCCUGAUCUCUCCACUGUGGAGACCAACAGUGAAAAGUCCCGGAUCAGUCGAUUUCACGAUGUGAUAUGAAAGCCACGCGUUUUGUCCAGAGUCGGCAUCCACAGCUAUCACCUUGGAAACCAGGGACCCCGCCAGAGCAGCUUUGGGGACCAUCUCAGUCAUUAAGGAGUUCCCUGCUGGAGCAGGGUAUAAUAUCUGGGGAGAGUUAUCAUUCUCAUCUGUUAUGAAGACACUCACAGUCACGCUACUGCUGAGUGGAGGAGAACCAUUGUCCCUGGCUACAACGUGGACUUUGAAGCUCCUAAAUUGCUCAUAAUCAAAUGUUCUCACAGCAUGGAUCACCCCCGUGUCUCCGUUAAUGGAUAAAAAUGAGGACACCGGAACACCGUUGACAUCACUGGGCAACAGAGAAUAGACCACCGUGCCGUUCUGUCUCCAGUCUGGGUCUAUGGCAGUAACAGAACACACAGAUGAGCCAGGCGUGUUAUUUUCAGUCACAUAGGCGCUGUAGGAUUGCUCCUCAAACACUGGUGGGUUGUCAUUCACGUCUGACACAGAUAAAUGAAUAGUCUUCGAGGAGGAUAACGGUGGAGACCCCUCGUCAGUGGCAGUGAUAGUUAUGUUAUAAUCUGAAAUGUUCUCUCGGUCUAAUUCACUCGUUGUUACCAGAGAAUAAUAGUUUUUGAUUGAGGGGUUUAGUUUGAAAGGAACAUUUUGCUGAAUGGAGCAGCGGACCUGUCUAUUUCCCCCAGAGUCCUUAUCCAAUACAUUAAUGAUGCCCACCUCUCUGCCAGGUAACAUGUUCUCUGGGAUGGGAUUGGUCAAGGAUGUAAGAGAUAUCACUGGGGCGUUGUCAUUAACAUCUGUAAUUUCUAUGAAUAUUUUGGCAAAGGAAGUCAAUCCCGAGCCAUCUUUGGCUUUGAUCCGCAAUUCAUGAAUGGAUUCUUCUUCAAAAUCCAUCUGUCCUGCUAUCCUGAUGUCUCCCGUUUUAGGGUCAAGAGAAAAUAUUUUAUUUAAUUCUUCUGAGAUUGGUCCAAAUCCGUACGUCACUUCUCCAUUUGCCCCCUCGUCUGCAUCGAUGGCUGUUACAGUAACAACUAAUGAACCUAAUGGAGCAUUUUCUGGUACACUGACCUUAUAGGCAUUUUCGCUAAACACUGGUGUAUUAUCGUUAGCAUCCAACACAUUGACGUGUAUGACUACAGUACCAGAUCUCUGUGGAGUCCCACCGUCAACCGCAGUAAGUAUUAAUGUCACCUCCUGCUUUUGUUCUCGAUCUAACUCUGUGUCUAACACGAGCUCAC
ensembl:lncRNA